rnacentral:lncRNA from 1 species
CGAGGAGCCCAUGCCAUGUCCCACGCAAGACAACUGAAGGCGGCCUGGGGAAACUGGGCCCCGGCUGCAGCGACUCACAGUUGCCCUGCCAGGGAGCUGCACCCUAGGCCAGGACCUGGGGUGUCCCAUCAGCAUGGCCUCAAGACUACCUGCUUUGAACCCCAACUGGUAAAAUGGGAGUAGGGGCAGCAACAGAAAGGCAGAGUAAAUGAGGACACACAGAAAACCUGGCACAGGGCACCUGUAACAUUCAUGAUCUGUUAUCAGCAGAGAUCGAUCGCCUGGACAAACCUAAGGUCAGAGAUCAGGAAUUUUCAUGAGGAGAAAAAAUGGCAGGCAAGCCUUGUGCAGCUCACUAAAAACAAGAUGCAUUCAAACCUCACUUUUCUGCCCUUUGGGGUGCUUACUUGGUGCCAGCCCUUUGAUGAGUACUCCUAAGGAACUCAAGCUCAGAGAGGUUAAGGGACUUGCCAAGGCCACAGAGCUAUUAGGAGGCAGAGCUGGGCUUUGCCCUAAUCAUCCGUCACUACUAAAACAUCUGAUGUCCCAACACAGGCUGCUUUUAAAACAUGCAAAAGAAAAAGGAAAAGGCAGCCCAGACAUGAGAAUGCACGGGCUCCACAUAAACCAGGAGAGCUGCACCCGGGUGGCAGGUGGACGGUGCUCAUGGCCCUAGGUUACGCCACGGCAGACAUGGGGUCCAUCCCAGCUGCAGGUGUGGGUCUGACUCUCAGCUCCAGAGGUGCCCUGCCAGCCACCUUCUGUCCUCUGGGAGCUGUUCCAUCCAGCCCUGCCCUGUGGCUGUGAGGUUUCCUAGUGCAGGGCUGCAGGUUAGUGGCCAGUGGUUGUCACUGCCUGGCACCCUGGGCUCCGUGAGUGCCCUGGCACUGUGGCCCUCUUCCCCGUGUCUCUUCACCUCUGUCAUGCCCCAGCCUCUCACCCCUGUGCGGGGCCUGGCUGUUCUUCCUCUUGGAAUGCAGCUCCGGACCCCCGGGUCUUCUUGGCCCACCUGGUCCUGUGGUGCACCCCAACUUUGCCUUCUUGUGGGCCUGUUCCCACUCCUUGUCUUCACAGCUGUAUCCCCAGGGCCAUCAACAUCUGUAGGAGGUCAUCUGCUCACCCCACCCCGUGUGUGCCUGCUGAGCAUGACUGGCCCAGACUCACCCCUCCCGCCUUGGGAUGGGUUCCCUGGUAGAACCUUCCAGAGAGAGCCCAUUCAGAGCAUCACAAGGUCCCUGCAUGUGUUCACUCCCAAGGAUAUUUUCAUUUUGUUGGCAAAAUGUCCAGGCGGGUCUGUGGAGCCCCAGCUGCAGGCUCUGCUCAGUGUCACCUGGGAUCCCUGCCAGCGCAGGGGGCUUCACCUGGAAGCCGGGGGUGGGGGGCUGUGGCUAAGCUUUUCUCCUCCCCCUGCUCUGGCUCCCUCAGUGUGGACUGGGUUGGUCUGUGGAGGGAGGGGAUCAGGGGCAGCAAGCCUGACCUGACCAGAAAGACAUGAUGUCAUGGCCGGACUCCAAGGCUGCUGCUGCCUUGACGAAGGUGGUCAAGAGGGGUCCCUGAUGUAGGGGUUCUGUGUUUGGGAUUGGGGUCCCUGAUGACUUCAGGGCUGUGGCAGGCUUGGUGCUGGGAAAGUUUCUGGGCAAAGGCCUAGGAUGCCCGGUUGCUGUAGUAAUGCCCUCUAUGCUAGAGUCUUAUCAGCUUCGACCUUAGUCUUAGGCCCGUAGCUCCUGGGAAUAGAAGAACUUGUUUGCUAGAUAACUACAGUGUUUCACCAAGCUCCGGUGCUCCUGGAGCUGCCCGCCUAACAGUAACUUCAGACAAUGGUCUUUCUUGAGGAUUGCACAAAGCUCCUGGCAUUGCAUAUUGUAACCGUGAAAUGUAACUGCAGAAUAAGCAACUUUCCCGAUACUCUAAAUAAUAAUGUAGUUAUGGUACUAAUGACCUAAUGCAACCUAUUGGUAUAAAUAAAUGUGGCUGCUUGAAGAAGGAGCCAUAUCUGCC